UACCAGCACCCCGAGUGGUCGGGACGAUUAUUGGGCCUAAAGCAUCCGUAGCCGGUUCUGCAAGUCCCCCGUUAAAUCCAGCUGCUCAACAGAUGGGCCGCGGAGGAUACUACAGAGCUAGGAGGCAGGAGAGGCAAGCGGUACUCAGUGGGUAGGGGUAAAAUCCGUUGAUCCAUUGAAGCCCGCCAGUGGCGAAGGCGGCUUGCCAGAAUGCGCUCGACGGUGAGGGAUGAAAGCUGGGGGAGCAAACCGG
rnacentral:rRNA from 1 species